UUUAUAUAUAUUAAAUUGUUUACAUAUUUAAAUUGUUUAUAUAAAUUAAAUUAUUUAUAUAUUUAUACAUAUUUAUAUAAACAAUUUAAUUAAAUUGUUUACAUAUUUAUGUAAAUUGUUUAUAAUUUCUAUUAUCGCAUAUAUAAAUUGUUUUGGGGACUUUUAGGUCUUUAAAUCAAGGGUUCCGCCUCGCUCCGCCUUGAGGCUUACGCCUCGCAUAGCCCAGAGAAAAACGCCUCGUACCGAUUUUAGCUUUUUCGAACAUUGACCUACAGUACUCAAGUUGGUCAGAUUUAUAACUUGGUCUAAAUGCUACCAGUUUGCAUGAACAAUUAUCAAUUACUAUAUAUUCUAAAUUCCCUUCAAGGAACAAAUAGUACAAAUUGCUCACAUUGUGUAUAAAUAUAUACCCAUAUAAAACCCAAUUUUUACUUAUAAAUUACUAUUGAAUUCAGAGAUACAUUUAUAAAACUAUGACUUUUAAUUAUUAUUUUAUCUUUCCAAAUGUAACCUUAGUAUUAGCUAGGAACUGAGAAGUGGUUGUGUGAUGCUUAAAUUAAUAGUAAUAAAAAUAAUAAUAAAUUAGGGACAUUAUUUUGUUAAAAUUAAAAUAUACUCCCUCGGUUCCAUAUUAUUUAAUCACUUUUUAAAGUUAAGUUAAAAAGAUUUUUAAACUUAAAUUGACAUAAAUUCUUUUAAUUUUAAUAAUCAAUAUCGUAAACUACCUACAAAGUAUUGUAUUAUGUAAUUUUUAUUGCUUCGUAAUAUUUACUGAGUAAUCUCAAUUUAAAUUUGAAAAAUAUCUCAAAUUGAGUUUCAAAAUCAAUAAUGAUAAUAUAAUUUUGAACGGAGGGAGUAUCUCUUUUUUUGGGACGGACAGAGAAGAAGGAUGAGUCUCUGAUUUUGGAACGUUGGAAUACUUCACUAUCAAGUCUAUCAUAUAUGCUUGUGUAUACAAAUAUCAAUUCAGCAACUAUAUAUGAAACUGUUUCAUGAAUCACAAAAACGAAAAAUUGAAAUCCACAUAAUUUAAUAGCCGUAUCGGAAUUACCUUUAACUGCCAUGAGCUUUCGAUCCAAAGGGUGGCGACGGUGGGAGACGGUGGCGACGGGGUAAAUAUUGAAUGAGGUAAGUGCUAGACAAAUAUUAAUCCAAUAAAUGAGGUAAAUAAACAAGUGCUAGACAGCUAAACUAAUCCAAUAAAUGAUGUAAAUAAAG
rnacentral:lncRNA from 1 species